rnacentral:rRNA from 1 species
GACGAACGCUGGCGGCGUGCCUAAUACAUGCAAGUAGAACGCACAGUUUAUACCGUAGCUUGCUACACCAUAGACUGUGAGUUGCGAACGGGUGAGUAACGCGUAGGUAACCUGCCUGGUAGCGGGGGAUAACUAUUGGAAACGAUAGCUAAUACCGCAUAAUAUUAAUUACUGCAUGAGAAUUAAUUGAAAGGUGCAAUUGCACCACUACCAGAUGGGCCUGCGUUGUAUUAGCUAGUAGGUGAGGUAACGGCUCACCUAGGCGACGAUACAUAGCCGACCUGAGAGGGUGAUCGGCCACACUGGGACUGAGACACGGCCCAGACUCCUACGGGAGGCAGCAGUAGGGAAUCUUCGGCAAUGGACGAAAGUCUGACCGAGCAACGCCGCGGGAGUGAAGAAGGUUUUCGGAUCGUAAAGCUCGGUUGUAAGAGAAGAACGGGUGUGAGAGUGGAAAGUUCACACUGUGACGGUAUCUUACCAGAAAGGGACGGCUAACUACGUG